rnacentral:rRNA from 1 species
CAAAAACAUCGCCUCUUGAACAAAAAUAAGAGGUCCAGCCUGCCCAGUGACUAAUGUUCAACGGCCGCGGUAUCCUAACCGUGCGAAGGUAGCGUAAUCACUUGUUCUUUAAAUGAGGACUAGUAUGAACGGCACCACGAGGGUUAUACUGUCUCCUCUCUCUAAUCAGUGAAACUAAUCCCCCCGUGAAGAAGCGGGGAUAAAACUAUAAGACGAGAAGACCCUAUGGAGCUUUAAACUUAUCCUCAAACGCCAAAAUCACACACCAAGUUUUAAACUUCGCCACACGAACUCUCGCGCCAUGAGGACAAUUUUAGGUUGGGGUGACCAUGGAGUAUAAAAUAACCUCCAUGCUGAAUAGGCCUCCAAGCCUUGAGCCAAGGGCUACGACCCAUCGCACUAAAAUAUUAACAUCCAUUGAUCCAAUGUACUUUGAUCAACGAACCAAGUUACCCUAGGGAUAACAGCGCAAUCUACUUCAAGAGUUCCUAUCGACAAGUGGGUUUACGACCUCGAUGUUGGAUCAGGGUGUCCCAGUGGUGCAGCCGCUACUAAUGGUUCGUUUGUUCAACGAUUAAAACCCU